GCAGUUAGUAAACUAUAUAUAUGGGUUUAAAAUAAUUAAAUAUUUUACGGAUUCACUGCGUUAAUGGUGCUGUUUUAAAGAUUUUCCUUUAUUCUCUUCAUAGUGGAUUGCUGCCUCGGCCGCAAACUACUGUGUAAAAACCAGCCUCUGCCUUGGGCCAGAAACCGGCCUACCCGACCUAAGCUAGUAGAGCCGUCACAAGUUUGUGACGGAAUUAGAGACUGUCCCCUAGGCGAAGACGAAAACUGUAUCAAGUGUGAAAAUCCCCCACAAGUAGAAUCAGGCUAUCGGGUCGACAACCAAACGGUGUUUACCGUUGGAGCCGUUGUAAGUUACACCUGUAUUCCCGGAUUCGUUGUGCGUGAAAUGGACACCAUAUAUUGCGACUAUCGGGGAUUGUGGUCGCAGGCUCCAGUUUGCAAUAAACUAUGCGGGGACUUACCGAGCGUAAGAAACGGAAGCGUGAGUGCUAGUGGGCUUCUCACACCUGGAACAACAGUAAUUGUUUUUUGUGAUGAUGGUUUCGAACCGCUGAGAAACUUCUUCACGUUUGCUACAAACGGGUCAUGGAUCGGAAAUCCUGCAUGCG